AGGAAGCAGCACAAACAGACCAGGAGGGGGGGGGACCCCUAUUUUUCCAUCUGUUUUUAGGUCUCUGAUAGCACCGCUCAAAAGACUUUACUGAUUUAAUACCAGCUACUUGUGCAAGACACUCAUGUUGGAUUCUCGAUUUCGUUGCGAUGUCAUCUCCCAACUAAAUCUACCAAAGGCUGGAAUCCUCCGAUCUCAGAAACUGGAAGUCCGCUAAUGAAUUGGAAAUAAUGGUUAUCCAUCUACGGAGGAUCACUCCUGGAUAUAUAAGGUUAUUACAGACCCAAGCUGCUGGGAAAAUAGUCAUCCACACAGCAGACAAUCUGAUGCAACGGGCUGCUUUCUUCCUGGGCAUGUUUGGAAUCAGUAUGUCCACCUACAGCACCCUUCAACUGACUCAGCAGAAGAAGUUCUAUUUGAUGCCUUAACAUGUGUCAGAGUUGGAAUGAAACUGAUGGAGAUGGAAAUACCCAAUCACUGCCACCAGCGUUCUGAGAAGUAAGAUUGCCCAAAGGCAAAGAGGCCACCAGAAGGUACAAAAUUUAAAAGAAUUGGAAGAAUUGCUUGUUCCAGGAGGGAAAAAAUGAUCACAGAUGGAAGGAAACAUUAGACAUUACAAACAAGAUGGAGAGUCUACAAAAUAUGACGGAUUUCUUUUACAUAACACAGUACAUAAAGAAAGAAAUUUUAUCUUAAAAAGAAUAACUAGGAUUAAAGCAGGUACAGAUGGAUCGAUGGGGGGUGCCAUAUGCAAUUACAUUCAUCUCAUUAUUGCCUUUGUAAAUCCAUUCUAUCAUAAAGGGGAGGGUUUGAAGUGACACUGAAGUCUUCAAAACAGUGAGAACAAGCUUAAUCUUCUGGGACUCCCCCCCCCCCCCCCCCGCUCCUCCCUGGUAUGUUUUAAAAUGUAGCUUGCAACACGGAUUAACCACUCGGCAAUAUCAAAAUAGGAGAGCAAGGCUUCCCAAUUAAGCUAGAGAUGCGAACAGAUAUACAGGUUUUCUGCCAAGUAACUCUGCAAAAUCCUAAGAAAGCUAAUAGGCUUAAACUAUUUGACUCCCACAAAAGUCAUUCACUCUCAUACUGCAGAUAACUCAUAAAUGUCGCCGGGGGGGGGGGAGGGGGGGGCAGGGAGGCAAGAUCUUCAGCCAUCUGUUGGGCAUUUGGGCUGCAGGACCAUUCCUUGCUGAAUCCUUUUGAGGAAGCUGGACCAAAUCCGGAAGGGUUUUAUUUCACACGUGACAGAGUCAUAAAUUUAGGGAUGCUUAUAAGGUUGGGAUAUCUUGUAAUUUGAACCUUAUUUUUAACUGGUGUUUUUGACAUCAGUGCUCUUCUUUAGAAAGAUUACUAUAGCAAAUACAAUCACUUUCCUUGGAGCCUACAGAUCUAACAAUAUAUCUUGAUUCAACUAGGAA